AUUGAACGCUGGCGGCAGGCCUAACACAUGCAAGUCGAACGAGUGGCGGACGGGUGAGUAAUGUCUGGGAAACUGCCUGAUGGAGGGGGAUGACUACUGGAAACGGUAGCUAAUACCGCAUACCAUCAGAUGUGCCCAGAUGGGAUUAGCUAGUUGGUGGGGUAACGGCUCCCCAAGGCGCCGAUCCCUAGCUGGUGUGAGAGGAUGACCAGCCACACUGGAACGGAGACACGGUCCAGAUGCCUAGGCGAGGCAGCAGUGGGUAAUAGUGUACAAUGGGCGCUAGCCUGAUGCAGCCAUGCCGCGUGUAUGAAGAAGGCCUUCGGUUUGGAAAGUACUGUCAGCGGGGAGGCGUUACCCGCAGAAGAAGCACCGGCUAACUCCGUGCCAGCAGCCGCGUUAAUU
rnacentral:rRNA from 1 species